rnacentral:rRNA from 1 species
CCUGGCUCAGGACGAACGCUGGCGGCAUGCCUAAUACAUGCAAGUCGAACGACCCGCGACUAAGUGCUUGCACUAAGUCAAGGCGAGUGGCGAACGGGUGAGUAACGCGUAGGUAACCUACCUCAUAGUGGGGGAUAACAGUCGGAAACGACUGCUAAUACCGCAUAGGACAUAGGAUCACAUGAUUCAGUGAGGAAAGGUGGCGAAAGCUAUCGCUAAGAGAUGGACCCGCGGUGCAUUAGCUAGUUGGUAGGGUAACGGCCUACCAAGGCGAUGAUGCAUAGCCGACCUGAGAGGGUGAUCGGCCACAUUGGGACUGAGACACGGCCCAAACUCCUACGG